rnacentral:lncRNA from 1 species
UUGGAAUAUGGACUUCCAGGUAAGCGUAACCUGCGGCAUGCCCCACUGUUUUCCCUCCCUUAUUUUCCAGAUGGUUUAAACAGUGAAACAGAAGAGUGGCUGUUUCCUGGCCUGUGUGAUUGGUUUCCAGAAUUGUUUGCUAACCUUUCAGAUGACUAGCAGCAGUCUUCUCAGAAAAGAUGUCAAAAAUAAAGAAAUUAGGAGUAUAACAUUUUGGUGACA